rnacentral:rRNA from 1 species
CUACGGGGGGCAGCAGUGAGGAAUAUUGCACAAUGGGGGGAACCCUGAUGCAGCAACGCCGCGUGGAGGAUGACGCAUUUCGGUGUGUAAACUCCUUUUAUAUGUCAAGAAAAUGACGGUAGCAUAUGAAUAAGCGCCGGCUAAUUCCGUGCCAGCAGCCGCGGUAAUACGGAGGGCGCAAGCGUUACUCGGAAUCACUGGGCGUAAAGGACGCGUAGGCGGGUUGAAAAGUCAGGUGUGAAAGCCUACAGCUUAACUGUAGAACUGCACUUGAAACUCUCAAUCUAGAGUAUGGGAGGGGCAGAUGGAAUUAGUGGUGUAGGGGUAAAAUCCGUAGAUAUCACUAGGAAUACCUAAAGCGAAGGCGAUCUGCUGGAACAUUACUGACGCUAAGGCGUGAAAGCGUGGGGAGCAAACAGGAUUAGAUACCCCAGUAGUC